rnacentral:rRNA from 1 species
UUACUAGCGAUUCCAGCUUCACGCAGUCGAGUUGCAGACUGCGAUCCGAACUGAGAACAGAUUUGUGGGAUUGGCUUAACCUCGCGGUUUCGCUGCCCUUUGUUCUGUCCAUUGUAGCACGUGUGUAGCCCAGGUCAUAAGGGGCAUGAUGAUUUGACGUCAUCCCCACCUUCCUCCGGUUUGUCACCGGCAGUCACCUUAGAGUGCCCAACUGAAUGCUGGCAACUAAGAUCAAGGGUUGCGCUCGUUGCGGGACUUAACCCAACAUCUCACGACACGAGCUGACGACAACCAUGCACCACCUGUCACUCUGCCCCCGAAGGGGACGUCCUAUCUCUAGGAUUGUCAGAGGAUGUCAAGACCUGGUAAGGUUCUUCGCGUUGCUUCGAAUUAAACCACAUGCUCCACCGCUUGUGCGGGCCCCCGUCAAUUCCUUUGAGUUUCAGUCUUGCGACCGUACUCCCCCAGGCGGAGUGCUUAAUGCGUUAGCUGCAGCACUAAGGGGCGGAAACCCCCCUAACACUUAGCACUCAUCGGUUACGGCGUGGACUACCAGGGUAUCUAAUCCUGUUCGCUCCCCACGCUUUCGCUCCUCAGCGUCAGUUACAGACCAGAGAGUCGCCUUCGCCACUGGUGUUCCUCCACAUCUCUACGAAUUUCACCGCUACACGGGGAAUUCCACUCUCCUCUUCUGCACUCAAGUUCCCCAGUUUCCAAUGACCCUCCCCGGUUGAGCCGGGGGCUUUCACAUCAGACUUAAGAAACCGCCUGCGAGCCCUUUACGCCCAAUAAUUCCGGACAACGCUUGCCACCUACGUAUUACCGCGGCUGCUGGCACGUAGUUAGCCGUGGCUUUCUGGUUAGGUACCGUCAAGGUACCGCCCUAUUCGAACGGUACUUGUUCUUCCCUAACAACAGAGCUUUACGAUCCGAAAACCUUCAUCACUCACGCGGCGUUGCUCCGUCAGACUUUCGUCCAUUGCGGAAGAUUCCCUACUGCUGCCUCCCGUAGGAGUCUGGGCCGUGUCUCAGUCCCAGUGUGGCCGAUCACCCUCUCAGGUCGGCUACGCAUCGUUGCCUUGGUGAGCCGUUACCUCACCAACUAGCUAAUGCGCCGCGGGUCCAUCUGUAAGUGGUAGCCGAAGCCACCUUUUAUGUUUGAACCAUGCGGUUCAAACAACCAUCCGGUAUUAGCCCCGGUUUCCCGGAGUUAUCCCAGUCUUACAGGCAGGUUACCCACGUGUUACUCACCCGUCCGCCGCUAACA